UACGUAGGGGGCAAGCGUUGUCCGGAAUCAUUGGGCGUAAAGAGCUCGUAGGCGGCUUGUCGCGUCGUUCGUGAAAACCUGCAGCUCAACUGCAGGCUUGCGGUCGAUACGGGCAGGCUAGAGUUCGGUAGGGGAGACUGGAAUUCCUGGUGUAGCGGUGAAAUGCGCAGAUAUCAGGAGGAACACCGGUGGCGAAGGCGGGUCUCUGGGCCGAUACUGACGCUGAGGAGCGAAAGCGUGGGGAGCGAACAGG
rnacentral:rRNA from 1 species